rnacentral:rRNA from 1 species
UGGACACAGGUUCGUUGGUAGAGAUUACUAAGGCCUAGAGAUAAUACUUGUAAAGGAACUCGGCAAGUUGUCUUCAUAAGUUAGACGAGAUGAAGUUCCAAUUAUAUAUUUUUUAUUUAGGAAAAUUUUAUAUAAAGCGUGGCACAGAAUCGGACGCCCCGACUGUUUACUUAAAACGCAGACAUCUGCAACGAUUAAUUUCUUUGUAUAGGUGUUGAAUUUUGCCCGAUGCCAUUAACAUAUGGUUAAUAGGCGAUUUGGGUUUUAACUUUCUAAAAAUCUGGUCAAUGGCGGUUUUAUCCUGAGGAUCCUAAGGUAGCAAAAUUAAUUGUCCAUUAAAUGUGGUCCCGACUGAAUAAAGUAACGAUGGUCUGACUGUCUCUACAAGUAUCUCAGUGAAAUUGAAUUAGCCCUGAAGAUGCAGCUGCUGCCCUUUCUUGCG